GCCAGGUGUGGUGGUGUGCACCUGUAAUCCAAGCUACUCAGGAGGCUGAGACAGGAGAAUUGCUUGAAUCCAGGGUUGGAGAUUUCAGUGAGCCGAGAUUGCACCACUGCACUCCAGCCUGAGUGACAGAGCAAGACUCUGUCUCAA
rnacentral:sRNA from 1 species